UUUCCGUAGGUGAACCUGCGGAAGGAUCAUUGUCGAAGCCUGCCCAGCAGAACGACCCGCGAACUUGUAUAAACAACCCGGGGCAGGGGCGAUCUCGCCCCGUGCCCUCGAACGGCAGGGAGACACUCGUGCCUUCUUGUCGAACAACGAACCCCGGCGCGGUCUGCGCCAAGGAACUUCAAUUAAAGAGUGCCUCCGGUCGCCUCGGAAACGAUGCGCCUGUCGGAGACGAAUCUUGUACAAAACCAUAACGACUCUCGGCAACGGAUAUCUCGGCUCUC
rnacentral:misc_RNA from 1 species